GGGGAUGUAGCUCAGUUGGGAGAGCGCCGCGUUCGCAAUGCGGAGGCCAGGGGUUCAAUCCCCCUCAUCUCCACCA
rnacentral:tRNA from 1 species